GACGAACGCUGGCGGCAUGCCUAAUACAUGCAAGUCGAGCGAACAGAUGAAGUGCUUGCACUUCUGACGUUAGCGGCGAACGGGUGAGUAACACGUAAGGAAUCUACCUAUAAGCGGGGAUAACAUUCGGAAACGGGUGCUAAUACCGCAUAAUAUCUUCUUCCGCAUGGAAGGAGAUUGAAAGACGGCUCUGCUGUCACGUAUAGCUGACCUUGCGGUGCAUUAGUUAGUUGGUGGGGUAACGGCCUACCAAGACGAUGAUGCAUAGCCGACCUGAGAGGGUGAUCGGCCACAUUGGGACUGAGACACGGCCCAAACUCCUACGGGAGGCAGCAGUAGGGAAUCUUCCGCAAUGGGCGAAAGCCUGACGGAGCAAUGCCGCGUGAGUGAAGAAGGCCUUCGGGUCGUAAAACUCUGUUAUAAGAGAAGAACAAAUUGUAGAGUAACUGCUACAGUCUUGACGGUAUCUUAUCAGAAAGCCACGGCUAACUACGUGCCAGCCGCCGCCGUAA
rnacentral:rRNA from 1 species